rnacentral:rRNA from 1 species
GCGAAACUGCGAAUGGCUCAUUAAAUCAGUUAUCGUUUAUUUGAUAGUACCUGACUACUCGGAUAACCGUGGUAAUUCUAGAGCUAAUACGUGCUGAAAACCCCGACUUCGGGAAGGGAUGUAUUUAUUAGAUUAAAAAGCCAAUGCCCUCCGGGGCCCCUUGGUGAUUCAUGAUAACUCCUCGAAUCGCACGGCCUUGCGCCGGCGAUGGCUCAUUCAAAUUUCUGCCCUAUCAACUUUCGACGGCUGGGUCUUGGCCAGCCGUGGUGACAACGGGUAACGGAGGGUUAGGGCUCGACCCCGGAGAAGGAGCCUGAGAAACGGCUACUACAUCCAAGGAAGGCAGCAGGCGCGCAAAUUACCCAAUCCCGACGCGGGGAGGUAGUGACAAUAAAUACCGAUACAGGGCUCUUUCGGGUCUUGUAAUUGGAAUGAGUACAAUUUAAUUCCCUUAACGAGGAACAAUUGGAGGGCAAGUCUGGUGCCAGCAGCCGCGGUAAUUCCAGCUCCAAUAGCGUAUAUUAAAGUUGUUGCAGUUAAAAAGCUCGUAGUUGAACCUUGGGCCUGGCUGGCCGGUCCGCCUCACCGCGUGCACUGGUCCGGCCGGGCCUUUCCCUCUGGGGAACCGCAUGCCCUUCGCUGGGCGUGCCGGGGAACCAGGACGUUUACUUUGAAAAAAUUAGAGUGUUCAAAGCAGGCAUAUGCUCGGAUACAUUAGCAUGGAAUAAUGGAAUAGGACGUGCGGUUCUAUUUUGUUGGUUUCUAGGACCGCCGUAAUGAUUAAUAGGGACAGUCGGGGGCAUCCGUAUUCAGUAGUCAGAGGUGAAAUUCUUGGAUCUACUGAAGACGAACUACUGCGAAAGCAUUUGCCAAGGAUGUUUUUCAUUAAUCAGGAACGAAAGUUAGGGGAUCGAAGACGAUCAGAUACCGUCGUAGUCUUAACCAUAAACUAUGCCGACUAGGGAUCGGACGGUGUUGCUUUUUGACCCGUUCGGCACCUUGCACGAAAGUACAAG